CCAAAGACCAGUCGUGCGAAAUGAAACCAUUAGCCCAUCUUGCUCUGCUCGUGCUCAUCUUGGCAACGUGCUUAAUAUAUGACGCUGUAUCUGCAUCCAGUGAAAUGGAAAAGCGUGACGCUGUGCCAAAUUCUUGUACGUUUCAUCUUGGAAAAAUGUUUUGCACUACGGGUAUUUUAGGCACGGGAUGAAUGCUUAUUUUGUUUAAAGCAUGUUUUACCUCAUUUAUAGAAUAUUUUCAAAGUCUCAAAUAAAGUAAACAUAAAAACAUAUGCAUUUGUAUAUUACAAACAGAAUAAAAAAAGUUAUUUAAAAAUGAA